AAUGACGGUACCCGUCGAGGAAGCCACGGCACUACGUGCCAGCAGCCGCGGUAAUUAGGUGGCGAGCGUUGUCCGGAAUUAUUGGGAAAGGGAGCGCAGGCGGGAAAGUCAGUCUUAAAAGUGACCCCGUGAGGAUUGAAACUGUCUUUCUUGAGUGCAGGAGAGGAAAGCGGAAUUCCUAGUGUAGCGGUGAAAUGCGUAGAUAUUAGGAGGAACACCAGUGGCGAU
rnacentral:rRNA from 1 species